UUCAGUCCGGCCAGGAACAGGAAACUGAAUCUCCUGUACCACGCGGUACCCGGACUGAGUGACAGCCAGGAGGUCAAGGAGCUCGGCCACGCUACAGGGUCCAUGGAAGGAGCCGGAGGAGUACCAGGAUCUGAUGACGAAAAAGCUUAAUGAAAGAUUUUGUUGAGAAAUAAACUCUUGGCAGAGAGAAGAGAUAUUAAAUUUUCUCAGGUUCUCAUGACGUAUUGUCUCAUUUUCAAAGGAAGCAAUUGCUGACAGUCUCUGAAUAUAUGGAAUGGAAGCUCCAUUGAGUGGAUCCAAGUAACCUGAAAAGACUGAGUGCAAAAAUCCUUAAUAUAGGAAAAUAUUUCUGUUCAAUAAAUGGAGUUCUGAAAAUCAUGGAAACAUUAAAGAGUACCGGUCACCAACUAAAACUUUUAAUAUAUUGU